AACGAACGCUGGCGGCAUGCCUAACACAUGCCAGUCGAACGAGACCUUCGGGUCUAGUGGCGCACGGGUGCGUAACGCGUGGGAACCUGCCCUUAGGUUCGGAAUAACUCCCCGAAAGGGGUGCUAAUACCGGAUAAUGUCUUCGGACCAAAGAUUUAUCGCCUUUGGAUGGGCCCGCGUUGGAUUAGCUGGUUGGUAGGGUAAAAGCCUACCAAGGCGACGAUCCAUAGCUGGUCUGAGAGGAUGAUCAGCCACACUGGGACUGAGACACGGCCCAGACUCCUACGGGAGGCAGCAGUGGGGAAUAUUGGACAGUGGGCGAAAGCCUGAUCCAGCAAUGCCGCGUGAGUGAUGAAGGCCUUAGGGUUGUAAAGCUCUUUUACCCGGGAUGAUAAUGACAGUACCGGGAGAAUAAGCUCCGGCUAACUCCGUG
rnacentral:rRNA from 1 species